UACGAAGGGGGCUAGCGUUGCUCGGAAUCACUGGGCGUAAAGGGUGCGUAGGCGGGUUUUAAGUCAGGGUGAAAUCCUGGAGCUCAACUCCAGAACUGCCUUUGAUACUGAAGAUCUUGAGUCCGGAGAGGUGAGUGGAACUGCGAGUGUAGAGGUGAAAUUCGUAGAUAUUCGCAAGAACACCAGUGGCGAAGGCGGCUCACUGGCCCGGUACUGACGCUGAGGCACGAAAGCGUGGGAGCAACAGG
rnacentral:rRNA from 1 species